AUUGAAAAGGACGUACAUGAAUACUCUUUAAACAAUAUUAUUUCAAAAAAUAACGUAUUAAAUGGAUACAACUGCUAACGAAGCCGCUCAAGUGGUAGCAUUAAUGGAAUCAGGGAUGCGUCAAUGUGAUGUUGCACGGCAACUAAACUUGAGCCGUUUUGCCGUUCGACGAGUUUUCCAACGUUAUCAAGAGACUGGUGGCUUUAUCCGGGGGCAUGGAUCAGGCCGAUAACGCUGCACAAUGGACAGAGAUGAUCGUUUUAUUGUCUCGACGUCUUUGCGCAAUCGAUUUUCAAAUGCUGUAGAGCUUCAACAGCAACUCCGCGCAGCUCGCAGUAC